CUCCGUCCCCUUGGAUCACCGACCCAAGAUAUCUCACACUGUCCCUCUUGGCGAUGGACUGAGAGCCAAGCAUCACUUCCCCGCCUACCCCACUCGGCUCGUUGCCAAAUUUGCACUCCAGAUAUUCUGUCUUAGAUCUGCUGAUUUUGAAACCCUUAGACUCAAGUGUCUGUCUCCAUAUCUCUAACCUUUCACUACACCGGCCCUCGUCUCGUCUAUCAAUAUUAUAUCAUCAGCAAAGAGCAUACACCAAGGCACAUCCCCUUGGAUAUGUCGGGACAAAGCAUCCAUCACUAAGGCGAACAACAGGGGCUCAGCGCCGAUCCUUGAUGGAGCCCCAUUUCCACAGGAAAAUGGUCUGAUUCGCC
rnacentral:lncRNA from 1 species